rnacentral:rRNA from 1 species
UACAGAGGGUGCGAGCGUUAAUCGGAAUUACUGGGCGUAAAGCGUGCGUAGACGGUUACGUAAGUCGGGUGUGAAAGCCCCGGGCUCAACCUGGGAAUUGCAUUCGAGACUGCGUAGCUAGGGUGCGGAAGAGGGAAGCGGAAUUUCCGGUGUAGCGGUGAAAUGCGUAGAUAUCGGAAGGAACAUCAGUGGCGAAAGCGGCUUCCUGGUCCAGCACCGA